rnacentral:rRNA from 1 species
GUUUGAUCCUGGCUCAGAAUCAACGCUGGCGGCGUGCCUAACACAUGCAAGUCGCACGAGAAAGUGGAGCAAUCCAUGAGUAAAGUGGCGCACGGGUGUGUAACACGUGAAUUAUCUACCUCCGAGUGGGGAAUAACUGAGAGAAAUCUUAGCUAAUACCGCAUAACACUUACGAGUCAAAGCAGCAAUGCGCUUGGAGAGGAGUUCGCGGCCGAUUAGUUAGUUGGCGGGGUAAUGGCCCACCAAGACGAUGAUCGGUAUCCGGCCUGAGAGGGCGCACGGACACACUGGAACUGAAACACGGUCCAGACUCCUACGGGAGGCAGCAGUGGGGAAUUUUGCGCUAAUGGGGGAAACCCUGACGCAGCAACGCCGCGUGGAGGAUGAAAUAUCUUUGGUAUGUAAA